UAUUACUCUGUGGUUAGGGUACCUCAUC
rnacentral:piRNA from 1 species